CAGCCAGUGCGGAAAACAGCUCGUUCUGAAGCUCUGCACUCGGUUUCCGAGCUGCCGUGUAGCUACUGCGCAGCAUCCAGCAGUUGAAGCCAGCCGACAGCAUACUCCCCUUCCUGAUCCUUAGGCCGCCGUUUAAACGGCUUCAGGACCCCGGAUGCAGACCGAAGUCCCCUGUGCUCUCUGAUGCCCGGCGGCUUCCUGCCAGCGCAGAGGACGCCACAGCUCCCGCUGCUGCCCCCGCCCGAGCCCGGAUCCAACCCACUGCUUCCGGGUGACUUCCCAGGACCAAACGGACUAGGGGUAUGGGACCCUGGGUGAGGGAUUUGCCCCAUUCUCUGGCAUUAGCCCCCUUCCACACCGCCUGCAGCUCGCCCCCCCCCCCGCCCCGACAGCCCUCCCCUGCAUCCGGUUCAAGGCACCCUGCCCUCCCCCGCGUUUGCAGUUGGGGACAAACGUCCGGGAAAUUUCCAUUCUCCCUUCCUAAAGCCCUGCUAUCACUCUGGAACCUCUGGCCUUCUCAGCUAGCUCCGGAUCCAGCCUAGAAGGAUGUCAGGAGUCCCUCACUUCAGCUAAUCCUCACACUCAGUGACACACCCUCCCAUACCUUCCGCUCACUGACUCAAGCCCGGGAGGAUGGAGGCUUAAUUCCUCUAAACAAAUGCAUUCUAAGCCUGGAAGUAAAUGUAAGCGCCGUGAAAAAUAAAAGGGUUGCUUAUUAAAACAAGCAAACAAACAAA
rnacentral:lncRNA from 1 species